rnacentral:rRNA from 1 species
UGGGGAAUAUUGGACAAUGGGGGGAACCCUGAUCCAGCAAUGCCGCGUGUGUGAAGAAGGCCUGAGGGUUGUAAAGCACUUUCAGUAGGGAGGAUGGUAUUUAGGUUAAGAGCUAGGAUACUGGACGCUACCUACAGAAGAAGCACCGGCUAACUCCGUGCCAGCAGCCGCGGUAAUACGGAGGGUGCGAGCGUUAAUCGGAAUUACUGGGCGUAAAGGGUGCGUAGGUGGUUGAAUAAGUUAUCUGUGAAAUUCCUGGGCUCAACCUAGGGAGGUCAGAUGAUACUGUUCAACUCGAGUAUGGGAGAGGGUAGUGGAAUUUCCGGUGUAGCGGUGAAAUGCGUAGAGAUCGGAAGGAACACCAGUGGCGAAGGCGUCUACCUGGCCUAAUACUGACACUGAGGCACGAAAGCGUGGGGAGCAAACAGG